rnacentral:rRNA from 1 species
CCUACGUGUGGCAGCAGUGAGGAAUAUUGGUCAAUGGGAGAGAUCCUGAACCAGCCAAGCCGCGUGAGGGAAGACGGCUCUAUGAGUUGUAAACUGCUUUUGUACGAGGGUAAACGCAGAUACGCGUAUCUGUCUGAAAGUAGCGUACGAAUAAGGAUCGGCUAACUCCGUGCCAGCAGCCGCGGUAAUACGGAGGAUUCAAGCGUUAUCCGGAUUUAUUGGGUUUAAAGGGUGCGUAGGCGGUCGGAUAAGUUAGAGGUGAAAUCCCGAGGCUCAACUUCGGAAUUGCCUGUGAUACUGUUCGGCUAGAGAGUAGUUGCGGUAGGCGGAAUGUAUGGUGUAGCGGUGAAAUGCUUAGAGAUCAUACAGAACACCGAUUGCGAAGGCAGCUUACCAGGCUACUUCUGACGUUGAGGCACGAAAGCGUGGGGAGCAAACAGGAUUAGAUACCCGUGUAGUC